rnacentral:rRNA from 2 species
UAAUACGAAGGUGGCAAGCGUUGUUCGGAUUCACUGGGCGUACAGGGUGUGUAGGCGGUUUGGUAAGCCUUCUGUUAAAGCUUCGGGCCCAACCCGGAAAGCGCAGAGGGUACUGCCAGGCUAGAGGGUGGGAGAGGAGCGCGGAAUUCCCGGUGUAGCGGUGAAAUGCGUAGAGAUCGGGAGGAAGGCCGGUGGCGAAGGCGGCGCUCUGGAACAUACCUGACGCUGAGACACGAAAGCGUGGGGAGCAAACAGGAUUAGAUACCCUGGUAGUCCACGCCCUAAACUAUGGAUACUAAGUGUCGGCGGGUUACCGCCGGUGCCGCAGCUAACGCAUUAAGUAUCCCGCCUGGGAAGUACGGCCGCAAGGUUGAAACUUAAAUGAAUUGACGG